GCCGAGUAGAACUGGAUACACUGGCUGUAUGCAGAUACAGAGUGGCUCUCCUUCCCUCACUCUGCGGGUGCGGCCCGGGCGGUGUUGUAGAAGCAGAAGUGGCCAGCACAUGCGGCACCCGAAAGGCUAGUGCUAAUCCCUCACCGGGUACUGAAAUUUCCACAGCAGGGUCUGGUACCGGGUCGAUUCUCGUGAACCAUGUAGUCCAUUUGCAGAAUGCCGGCACCACGUCGGCCAUGGGGAGCACAGCAACGAGACAGGUCGGCUCGGAGGUCGUCUAGCAGAGCCAACGCUGUAGUUGGGACUGAUUGGGUGGUAGGGGCUGUUUAGAGCUCGUAAGGACAAAGACAGCUCAAGGAGUUAGAUGAGUCUUUUCCAACACUCUGGCUACUGAGUCAGAUACUGCGCAUGCGCGGUAAGGCCAGAGGGCCAAGCCUUUGUUAUCAUAGCGUGUACCCGAAGUAACGCCACGGUUAGGGUACUUCCCCGUACGUUUAACUACAUUAAACUACAUUUAAAUUCGUUACUUACAAAUCAGUACUGCUGAAAACUUGAAUGGAAGAACUACUCACCUGAUAUCAUUGAUAUAUUCCAUGACAACAGAAAAGUGUGGACCAGCUACAGUUUGAAGGAACUAGAUGUAAUGAACAAAGCAAGAACAGAGGGCAACGUAACAAGCAUGUCUAAUCGGACUGUUGAUCAGAAUUUCACUGUGAGUUAAUCAAUUUUUAUAUGAUCGUUCUCACUUCCAGCCUGGAUUCUUUGUGGAAUGAUGAGGUUCAUAUUAAGGUAUGAUACAUGUACUAAAAAGAUAGCAUAUUACACAGAAUGUAUUAUACUAUUACAUAACGUAUGUGAUGGAGAGAAAUGCUUGGUGUUAAUUUGUAUGUAUGCAUGCAUGCAUAAUUAUACGCAUGUGAUAAUCAUGUCAUACUCAUAAUAGGCUGAUUUGGUUCUGAAAAACGUCGCUGAUAAAUCUGAAGGAAGGGGAAAUUAUUUUAUUAUUCCUACACAUUUAUUAUUCCUACACAAUACUCUCUUGCCAAAGGACAGUUGACUAGUCAAGCAAGGAGGGAAUUGUCCAGUCUAUUUCGAGCAAAGUAUCCAACGAUAACGCAAGUAUAUUGAUGUUGUUUAUUGAUGUUGCAAAAUUAUCAUAUCAAUCAAAGGAACAAGAUACCGUCUUGGAACAAGAUAUGUAAGUACAGCACACAUUGAUUAUCAAAUUGUGUACUCUUGGUUCAUGGAGUAGAGCAAUUCAACAAGGCUCAAGAAUAUGCAUAGAAAACCGAGAGCAUGUUACCCAAGCGAAAACGAGCCUCUAACCAUGCUUGUGGAUCUGAUCAAGCAAGCACAAAAUCUUUAGAUUCAACUUCUGUACAAAGACAUACCACUCUCCUUUAACUUUAAAAGGAAUGGUCCAAAACAAACUUAUGUCUGAGCUGGGACCUCACCGUCGAUCUUUCAUACAAGUAGCUGUUCUCACACCGUUGACUGAGUAUGUCUAUUUGAUCAAUGAAUUUUCUCAAAUUACGGGAAAGGGGGACCUAAAUUCUACUGUUGGAAAGAAUUUGAAUCAAAGAGUGUUAAGAAGCAACAACAACUCACAAUCCACUAGUAACACAACCUAGUAACACAACCAUGCAU